rnacentral:rRNA from 1 species
UACAGAGGUCUCAAGCGUUGUUCGGAUUCAUUGGGCGUAAAGGGUGCGUAGGUGGCGCCAUAAGUCAGGUGUGAAAUCUCGGGGCUUAACUCCGAAACUGCAUUUGAUACUGUGGUACUUGAGGACUGGAGAGGAGACUGGAAUUCACGGUGUAGCAGUGAAAUGCGUAGAGAUCGUGAGGAAGACCAGUGGCGAAGGCGGGUCUCUGGACAGUUCCUGACACUGAGGCACGAAGGCCAGGGGAGCAAACGGG